rnacentral:rRNA from 1 species
UACGGAGGGUGCAAGCGUUGUUCGGAAUUAUUGGGCGUAAAGAGCACGUAGGCGGAUUUGUAUGUCGAUUGUGAAAGCCCAGGGCUUAACCUUGGAAUUGCAGUCGAAACUGCGGAUCUUGAAUACUUGAGAGGGUGGGGGAAUUCCUGGUGGAGAAGUGAAAUUCGUAGAGAUCAGGAGGAACAUCGGAGGCGAAGGCGCCUGCCUGGCAAUGUAUUGACGCUGAGGUGCGAAAGCGUGGGGAGCAAACAGG